rnacentral:rRNA from 1 species
UAGAGUUUGAUCCUGGCUCAGAACGAACGCUGGCGGCGUGCUUAACACAUGCAAGUCCAACGUGAAAGGGGAGCAAUCCCCCGGUAAGGUGGCGAACGGGUGAGUAAUACAUGGGAAUCUGCCCUGGAGAUGGGGAUAUCCUCCCGAAAGGGGGGCUAAUACCGAAUAUCGUCCGGAUUUCGAGAGGGAUUCGGGGAAAGGGAGGCCUCUGGCAACAUGCUUCCGCUCCAGGAGGAGCCCAUGGCCCAUCAGCUAGUUGGUAGGGUAACGGCCUACCAAGGCGAAGACGGGUAGCUGGUCUGAGAGGACGAUCAGCCACACUGGCACUGAGACACGGGCCAGACUCCUACGGGAGGCAGCAGUGAGGAAUUUUGCGCAAUGGGGGCAACCCUGACGCAGCAACGCCGCGUGUGGGAAGAAGGCUUUCGGGUUGUAAACCGCUUUUGUGAGGGAAGAAGUCCCGCCGGCAAAUAACCGGCGGGGAUGACGGUACCUUGCGAAUAAGCCACGGCUAACU